rnacentral:rRNA from 1 species
GACGAACGCUGGCGGCGUGCUUAACACAUGCAAGUCGAGCGGAAAGGCCCUUCGGGGUACUCGAGCGGCGAACGGGUGAGUAACACGUGAGUAAUCUGCCCUUGGCUUUGGGAUAACUACCGGAAACGGUGGCUAAUACCGGAUACGACAACCGUCUGCAUGGGCUGGUUGUGGAAAGUUUUUUCGGCCAGGGAUGUGCUCGCGGCCUAUCAGCUUGUUGGUGGGGUAAUGGCCUACCAAGGCUUCGACGGGUAGCCGGCCUGAGAGGGUGACCGGCCACACUUGGACUGAGACACGGCCCAGACUCCUACGGGAGGCAGCCGUGGGGAAUAUUGGACAAUGGGCGGAAGCCUGAUCCAGCAACGCCGCGUGAGGGAUGACGGCCUUCGGGUUGUAAACCUCUUUCAGUACCGACGAAGCGCCGAUGAUGGUGGUGACGGUAGGUACAGAAGAAGCACCGGCCAACUACGUG